rnacentral:ribozyme from 1 species
AACAGCAACAGAAAUGGCAACAGCAACAGCAGCAACAAUAGGUUGUUGCGAAGGCGAAUAAAAUAAAUAAUCCUUCGUUUUUUGUUUGUUUUUGUUUUUUGUUUUUUGUU